rnacentral:tRNA from 1 species
AGUGAUGUGUCUGAUUUAAGUAAUAAAUUGUAAAUUUAUUUAAGAAUUUAAUUAUUCUAUUACUA